rnacentral:rRNA from 1 species
UACAGAGGUGGCAAGCGUUGUUCGGAAUUACUGGGCGUAAAGGGCGCGUAGGCGGCCUCGCAAGUCCCGUGUGAAAUCCCUCGGGCUCAACUGAGGAAUGGCACGGGAAACUGCGGGGCUUGAGUUCGGGAGAGGGAAGCGGAAUUCCGGGUGUGAGCGGUGAAAUGCGUAGAUAUCCGGAGGAACACCGGUGGCGAAGGCGGCUCCUGGACCGAUACUGACGCUGAGGCGCGAAAGCUAGGGGAGCAAACGGG